rnacentral:rRNA from 2 species
GGACUACUGGGGUUUCUAAUCCUGUUUGAUCCCCACGCUUUCGUGCCUCAGCGUCAAUCAUCGUUUAGCAAGCUGCCUUCGCAAUCGGUGUUCUAUAUCAUAUCUAUGCAUUUCACCGCUACAUGAUAUAUUCCGCCUACCUCAACGAUAUUCAAGACUAAUAGUAUCAAUGGCAGUUUCCGGGUUGAGCCCGGAGAUUUCACCGCUGACUUAAUAGCCCGCCUACACACCCUUUAAACCCAGUGAAUCCGGAUAACGCUUGCACCCUCCGUAUUACCGCGGCUGCUGGCAC